ensembl:lncRNA
CAGAGGAGAUGGUCUGAGCUUCUUAGCUUGGCUCUAAAGCCUCUGCAAUCUGGCCCCACCUCUCUUUCCUGGCCUCAUUUCUCAUGACUUUUUUUUCUCCAGGAUAUUCCAGUCCUUGCUGACUUCUAUUGUCAGUUUCUUUACUUGUAACACCCUCAUGCUGCUGCUGCUGCUAAGUCGUUUCAGUCGUGUCCGACUCUGUGAGACCCCAUAGACGGCAGCCUACCAGGCUCCUCCGUCCUUGGGAUUCUCCAGGCAAGAACGCUGGAGCCAAGGAAGGGCAUUCCACUGGCCAGACACCACUGUGGAGCUGGAAUGAGAGAGAUCUUGGGAAAACUUGACCUGUGAACCACAUGGCAAGAAAAUACAGAGACUCGGGAUCAAUUCACCUCUGAAGAUGUCUAAAGUCAAGAGACCAGCUGGAGCAGGAUGCCUGGAAUGCAGAUAGAAUGGUCGGGGGCUUAGCAGCCAUUUUGGACCAUGAGGUGACCUUGCAGAUUGGGAGCUACAUGCAAGGAUAAUGAAUCCGAUGGAGAAGUAUGGGUUCUUGACACCGUGGGGCUACCCUACAAGUUCUGGGCCACCUACCUGUUCAUUUUAAAAGAGAGAGAGACAUACUUCCAUCCCGUUUGCAUGGGUGCUCUGUUGCUUCAGUCGUGUCUGACUCUUUGUGACCCCAUGGAGUGUAGCCCACCCGGGUCCUCUGUCCGUGGGAUUCUCCAGGCAACAAUACUGGAGUGGGUUGCCAUGCCCUCAUUGAGGGGAUCUUCCCGACCCAGGGAUCAAAACUUCAUCUCUUACAUCUCCUGCAUUGUCAGGCAGAUUCUGCACCACCAGUGCCACCUGGGAAGAUCUUCUAUCAUGUUUAGGCCGCUGUUAUUUUUGGUUUCUUGUAGGAACCCGCCAAGUCCAAUCCUCAUUGAUCCACUGCCUAAAUAUUACACACUCUAACACAGG